UGCGUAGGCGGAUUAAUAAGUCAGUGGUGAAAUCUCCCGGCUCAACCGGGAAACUGCCAUUGAUACUGUUAGUCUAGAGUUUAGAUGAAGUGGGCGGAAUGUAGCAUGUAGCGGUGAAAUGCUUAGAUAUGCUACAGAACACCGAUUGCGAAGGCAGCUCACUAAGCUAAAACUGACGCUCAUGCACGAAAGCGUGGGGAUCAAACAGGAUUAGAUACCCUGGUAGUCC
rnacentral:rRNA from 1 species